AGCGAACGCUGGCGGCAGGCCUAACACAUGCAAGUCGAACGAAGUCUUCGGACUUAGUGGCGGACGGGUGAGUAACACGUGGGAACGUGCCUUUAGGUUCGGAAUAACUCAGGGAAACUUGUGCUAAUACCGAAUGUGCCCUUCGGGGGAAAGAUUUAUCGCCUUUAGAGCGGCCCGCGUCUGAUUAACUAGUUGGUGAGGUAAAGGCUCACCAAGGCGACGAUCAGUAGCUGGUCUGAGAGGAUGAUCAGCCACAUUGGGACUGAGACACGGCCCAAACUCCUACGGGAGGCAGCAGUGGGGAAUCUUGCGCAAUGGGCGAAAGCCUGACGCAGCCAUGCCGCGUGGAUGAUGAAGGUCUUAGGAUUGUAAAAUCCUUUCACCGGUGAAGGUAAUGACUGUAGCCGGAGAAGAAGCCCCGGCUAACUUCGUGCCAGCAGCCGCGGUAAUAC
rnacentral:rRNA from 1 species